rnacentral:lncRNA from 1 species
AAAUGAUACUGUACAUUAUAUCGGUUCAAAAACAACAUGGGCAAUUUUGUAAUCUGAAUUAUUCGUUAUCGUAAAUCUUAAUUCAUGAAACACAAAUUUAAGUUCAGAAAUGUUACUUGCACAAUGUUGCACUUCACAAAACAAAAGAAGAACAAACAAAAAGAAAAAAAGAGAGAAUAAUUCAAACGUUAAAUACCAAGCUAGGCCUACAACGUACAACAUAGAUAAUUAGUCGUCCACCGGAAAAGCCUACUUAAAUCUAAAUUAAGACUUUGAAUGUGCCUUUCGUAUCUUUUGCUUCUUUUUUUCUCUGUUCAAAAGAUAUCGCAAACAUUUAGAACAAUUUAAAUCAACA